rnacentral:rRNA from 1 species
AAACUAAUUUAAUUUGGCGGCAUUUCAUUUAAUUAGAGGAAUUUGUCUAUUAAUCGAUACUCCACGUUAAAUUUUACUUUACUUAAAAAUUUAUAUACCGCCAUCUUAAGAAUUAAUUUAAAAAUUUUCUUCUCAAUAACUAAUAAAAAGUUAGGUCAAGGUAUAAUCUAUAUUAAAGAAUAAGAUGAAUUACAUUAAAUAAUAUUUAAAGACUAUUUAUAAAAAUAUAAAUAUAAAUAAGAAUUUAAAAGUAAUAUAAUAAUAAUAAUUUUACAUGAUAAAAACAAUAAAUGUGCACACAUCGCCC